GUCCACGCGGUAAACGAUGGGCACUAGGUGUAGGGGGUAUCCACUCCUCCUGUGCCGCAGCUAACGCAUUAAGUGCCCCGCCUGGGGAGUACGGCCGCAAGGUUAAAACUCAAAGGAAUUGACGGGGGCCCGCACAAGCGGUGGAGCAUGUGGUUUAAUUCGACGCAACGCGAAGAACCUUACCUGGGCUUGACAUCCCCGGAACCCCUGGAAACAGGGGGGUGUCCCCGCAAGGGGAAGCCGGGAGACAGGUGCUGCAUGGCUGUCGU
rnacentral:rRNA from 1 species